CCCCUCUUAGGGUCUCACUUGGAGAGUUUCAGUACUCUACCAGUCCAAACCAUGGGAGGGCCAGUCAAGCAGAGGUCUACCCAUUCCAUUCCUAGCUUGACCAGGGGCUAGUGAGUGGAAGGCAAUCUGCUUCAAGG